rnacentral:rRNA from 1 species
AGUGAACGCUGGCGGUAGGCCUAACACAUGCAAGUCGAACGGCAGCACAGUAAGAGCUUGCUCUUACGGGUGGCGAGUGGCGGACGGGUGAGGAAUACAUCGGAAUCUACUUUUUCGUGGGGGAUAACGUAGGGAAACUUACGCUAAUACCGCAUACGACCUACGGGUGAAAGCAGGGGAUCUUCGGACCUUGCGCGAUUGAAUGAGCCGAUGUCGGAUUAGCUAGUUGGCGGGGUAAAGGCCCACCAAGGCGACGAUCCGUAGCUGGUCUGAGAGGAUGAUCAGCCACACUGGAACUGAGACACGGUCCAGACUCCUACGGGAGGCAGCAGUGGGGAAUAUUGGACAAUGGGCGCAAGCCUGAUCCAGCCAUACCGCGUGAGUGAAGAAGGCCUUCGGGUUGUAAAGCCCUUUUGUUGGGAAAGAAAAGCAGCAGGUUAAUACCCCGCUGUUCUGACGGUACCCAAAGAAUAAGCAACGGCUAACUUCGUG